rnacentral:rRNA from 1 species
UUUCCAUUAUGCAUUGAACUUACUACUUACUUACUAGUAAAACAAUUGGAGGGCAAGUCUGGUGCCAGCAGCCGCGGUAAUUCCAGCUCCAAUAGCGUAUACUAAAAUUGUUGCGGUUAAAAAGCUCGUAGUUGCAUUUGUGCGCCGCGCUGUCGGUGCACCGCAUCCGCGGUGAUACUGACACGUCUGCGGAGCAUAUCGUCGGUGAGCCGUCGGUUAAACGUCGGUUCAAUAUCAAAAUCCUAUCGCGGUGCUCUUCAAUGAGUGUCGAGGUGGGCCGACAAUUUUACUUUGAACAAAUUAGAGUGCUCAAAGCGGGCUCAAAAUGCUGCUUGAAUAUUUCGUGCAUGGAAUAAUAGAAUAUGAUCUCGGUUCUAUUUUGUUGGUUUUCAGAACUCCGAGGUAAUGAUUAAUAGGGAUAACUGGGGGCAUUCGUAUUGCGACGUUAGAGGUGAAAUUCUUGGAUCGUCGCAAGACGAACAUCAGCGAAAGCAUUUGCCAAAGGUGUUUUCAUCAAUCAAGAACGAAAGUUAGAGGUUCGAAGGCGAUUAGAUACCGCCCUAGUUCUAACCGUAAAUAUGUCAUCUAGCGAUCCGCCGACGUUACUACAAUGGCUCGGCGGGCAGCUUCCGGGAAACCAAAGAUUUUGGACUCCGGGGGGAGUAUGGUUGCAAAGCUGAAACUUAAAGGAAUUGACGGAAGGGCACCACCAGGAGUGGAGCCUGCGGCUUAAUUUGACUCAACACGGGAAAUCUCACCAGGCCCGGACACCGGAAGGAUUGACAGAUUAACAGCUCUUUCUUGAUUCGGUGGGUGGUGGUGCAUGGCCGUUCUUAGUUGGUGGAGCGAUUUGUCUGGUUAAUUCCGGUAACGAACGAGACUCUAGCCUGCUAAAUAGGCGUCGUCAUUUAGGUGUGCGUGGCUCCGUCACGCAACUCACUGGCGACGUAUUAAAAUUCUUCUUAGAGGGACCGGCGGCUUCGAGCCGCACGAGAUUGAGCAAUAACAGGUCUGUGAUGCCCUUAGAUGUCCUGGGCCGCACGCGCGCUACACUGAAGGAAUCAGCAUGUUCUCCCUGGCCUAGAGGCCCGGGCAACCCGCUGAAACUCCUUCGUGCUGGGGAUUGGGGUUUGCAAUUAUCCCCCAUAAACGAGGAAUUCCUAGUAAGCGCGAGUCAUAAGCUCGCGUUGAUUACGUCCCUGCCCUUUGUACACACCGCCCGUCGCUACUACCGAUUGAAUGAUUUAGUGAGGUCUUCGGACCGACACGCGGUGGCUUCACGGCCGUCGGCGUUGCUGGGAAGUUGACCAAACUUGAUCAUUUAGAGGAAGUAAAGUCGUAACAAGGUUUCCGUAGGGGAACCUGCGGAAG